GGGAGAUUAGCCUAAUGGUUCAGGCAGUCGGCUGUUAACCGACCUAUAGAGGUUCAAUUCCUUUAUCUCCCG
rnacentral:tRNA from 1 species